UUAGGAAUAUUGGACAAUGGGCGCAAGCCUGAUCCAGCCAUGCCGCGUGAGUGAUGAAGGCCUUCGGGUUGUAAAACUCUUUAGCCGAUGAUUAUAAUGACUGUAGUCGGAAAAUAAGCCCCGGCUAACUUCGUGCCAGCAGCCGCGGUAAUACGAAGGGGGCGAGCGUUAUUCGGAAUCACUGGGCGUAAAGCGUGCGUAGGCGGUUUAGUAAGUUAGGAGUGAAAGCCCAGGGCUUAACCUUGGAAUUGCUCUUAAAACUACUAGACUUGAAUCUCGGAGAGGAUAGCGGAAUUUCCAGUGUAGCAGUGAAAUGCGUAGAUAUUGGAAGGAACACCAGUGGCGUAAGCGGCUAUCUGGACGAGUAUUGACGCUGAGGCACGAAAGCGUGGGGAUCAAACAGGAUUAGAUACCCUGGUAGUCCACGCCGUAAACGAUGUGUGCUUGUCGCUGGGGAGUUCACUCUUCGGUGACGCAGCUAACGCGUUAAGCACACCGCCUGGGGAAGUACGGCCGCAAGGUUAAAACUCAAAGGAAUUGACGGGGGUCAUAGCUGUUUCCUG
rnacentral:rRNA from 1 species